rnacentral:rRNA from 1 species
GAAUCCUGAAUUCGAAAGGGGUUGGAUUCAGAUCCUACCGUUCGCAUACUAGGCAGCCCCACUGUGGAUGGUGCCGGUCGCCCGCGGCGAUUAAUUUCGUUUGCGGUGUCGUUUCUGGCGUCCACCCGGUGGUGGCUGACCACCUUCGCGGAGGGUCGCACUUCUCCCCUAGUAGAAACGUCGCGACCCGUUGGGUGCCGGCCGAAGGCCCGGGAAGGAAGCCCGCGCAUCCUGUGGUGGUUGCCACAGGCGUGCGGACUCCCGGUGACCCGGCCGGCUGCCCGACGGUACGACCAGAGGAGCCGAUCCGCUGAAUGGGAAACACUGUGGUUUGUGAAGCGUGCGGCCCGGCGCCGAUACGUGCGGGGAUUGAGGUGUAAACCGGGGGUGCCCGUGCGAAGCACGGUCCCGGCCCUGCUGCGUCGUCGGUUGCCGGUGUCCUCGCACUGGAUCGAUACUCCCGUCUGCGACGCCCAUCUUCGGAUGGUCUCC